GAUGAACGCUGACAGAAUGCUUAACACAUGCAAGUCUUUGGCGAAGCUGUGCUUGCACAGCCUAGCCAAGGCGGACGGGUGAGUAACGCGUAAGGAACUUGCCCUGCAGUCAGGGAUAACAGACGGAAACGACUGAUAAGACCUGGUAAAGUCAGGCGGACUCAUGUCCAGCCUGAUGAAAAGAGAUGCUGCAGGAGAGCCUUGCGUCCUAUUAGCUUGUUGGUGGGGUAACGGCCCACCAAGGCGAUGAUAGGUAGCCGGCCUGAGAGGGUGGACGGCCACAAGGGGACUGAGAUACGGCCCUUACUCCUACGGGAGGCAGCAGUGGGGAAUAUUGGACAAUGGGGCAACCCUGAUCCAGCAAUUCUGUGUGCACGAUGAAGGUUUUCGGAUUGUAAAGUGCUUUCAGCAGGGAAGAAAAAAAUGACGGUACCUGCAGAAGAAGCGACGGCUAAAUACGUG
rnacentral:rRNA from 1 species